UACGUAGGGUCCGAGCGUUGUCCGGAAUUACUGGGCGUAAAGAGCUCGUAGGUGGUUUGUCACGUUGUUCGUGAAAACUCACAGCUUAACUGUGGGCGUGCGGGCGAUACGGGCAGACUAGAGUACUGCAGGGGAGACUGGAAUUCCUGGUGUAGCGGUGGAAUGCGCAGAUAUCAGGAGGAACACCGGUGGCGAAGGCGGUGGUCUGGGCCGGCACUGACGCUGAGGAGCGAAAGCGUGGGGAGCGAACAGG
rnacentral:rRNA from 1 species